UUAUAGUCGUGGCCAUGACUACUGUAACACAAUGCCAAUGAGUCCAUACAAUUAUUCAAUGAGAAGAUCCAUGAUGAUGGAGCAACCUCACUACUAUGGUCAUCAUACUUCUUCAUAUCCUAGGUAAUAUGUCAUCUUAUGCUUGAUAUAAUCUAGACAUAUACUAUGAAAAUUGUAUAUGAGGUGGUUGUUGGGAAUUGGGAGUAUGAUUAAAGGCGUGAUUUGAACUUUAUGGUUUGUAAUUUCUAGGGGAUGUGAUUGGUAAUUGGUUUUAAAUUUAAGUUUUGUACAUAUUAAAUGAAUUUUCUUAAUAUAAAAACAAAUUUUGAAUUGAAGUUAUUAAAUUUGGUCGAACCUGUAUAUAGAUUUCUAGCUCUGCCCCUAGUGGUAAGGUGACGGGGUAGCGGGAAUGGGGGUUUGGCACAGGGGGUGAGUGGGGAGAGGGGUGAAUGUCAUUUUUUGUAGUCGUGAAAUUAUUGUUAUGUCAUAGUAUGUUUAGGGAAUUUUUUUAUAAACUUGAAUUUGUUCUCUUCCUAGAAUGGUAUAACACCAAAUUCUACACAAAUUAUACAUUUUUUGACUGAAAAUGCUUGUGUAUUUUGCAGGUUUAGGCCAUUUUACUACUAAUUAUUUUAUCUAUGAGGAAAUAUGCUGGAAUGGAUUAUGGGCUUAUGGCUAUUGAAAGAUAUAUUUUAGCAGUUCAAUUAAUUUAUGUGCUAAUUAAGCUACUGUUAAUGUGGAACUCUAUGCUUUAAUCUUAACUUUUAAUUAAUUAUUAGACGUAUCUUUCAGAAGUUAAGGGGAAAUGAUAUUUUUAUAGCCCAUCCAUGUCUACCUAUUAUGUCAAUUACGUUUUGUAACUAUGGAAUUGAUGAACUAGAUAUUAGAUUCUUCACGAACAGUUACACCUUAGACUUAUCUUGACCAACCACUAGAGGCGGAGUUAGGUGGAUCUUCUUUGGUUUGGAUGAAUCCACUAAUUUUUUCGUAGAUCCUGUAUUUGUAUUAGAAAUUGAAUAAAUAUAUAAUAUAUAUGUAUAUUAACUUGUGAAUCCCC
rnacentral:lncRNA from 1 species